rnacentral:tRNA from 1 species
GGAGGCUUAGCUCAGUUGGUUAGAGCAAUCGGCUCAUAACCGAUCGGUCCUGGGUUCGAGUCCCCGAGCCUCCA